rnacentral:sRNA from 1 species
UGCCUAAACCCAUCGAUUUUUCAAUGGGCAUGGCUCAAAACCACAGACAUACUGAACCCGUCGUUCAGGCCCCAUGUCUGUGGUCAUAUCUCGAAAGGGAUAUGGAGGCGAAAGCCUC